rnacentral:rRNA from 1 species
AGUGAACGCUGGCGGCGUGCUUAACACAUGCAAGUCGAACGAGAACGGGUUAUAGCUUGCUAUAAUUGUCAGCUAAGUGGCGCACGGGUGAGUAAUGUAUAGGUAAUAUGCCUCUUACUAAGGGAUAACAAAUGGAAACGUUUGCUAAUACCUUAUACUCCUUAUUAACAUAAGUUAAUAAGGGAAAGAUUUAUUGGUAAGAGAUUAGCCUGUAUUGUAUCAGUUGGUAGGUGGGGUAAUGGCUUACCAAGACUAUGACACAUAACUGGUUUGAGAGGAUGAUCAGUCACACUGGAACUGAGACACGGUCCAGACUCCUACGGGAGGCAGCAGUGGGGAAUAUUGCACAAUGGACGAAAGUCUGAUGCAGCAACGCCGCGUGGAGGAUGACACAUUUCGGUGCGUAAACUCCUUUUAUAUGAGAAGAUAAUGACGGUAUUAUAUGAAUAAGCACCGGCUAACUCCGUGCCAGCCGCCGCCGUAA